UUACGGCUAUAUCACAUUGAAAAAACAGAUUCUCAUACAAUCACUGAAGUUAAGCAAUGUCAAGACUGGUCAGUACCUGGAUGUGUGACCACUUGGGAAAACCAGGUGCU